UACGAAGGGUGCAAGCGUUACUCGGAAUUACUGGGCGUAAAGCGUGCGUAGGUGGUGAUUUAAGUCCGUUGUGAAAGCCCUGGGCUCAACCUGGGAAUUGCAGUGGAUACUGGGUCACUAGAGUGUGGUAGAGGAUAGUGGAAUUUCCGGUGUAGCAGUGAAAUGCGUAGAGAUCGGAAGGAACAUCUGUGGCGAAGGCGACUAUCUGGGCCAACACUGACACUGAGGCACGAAAGCGUGGGGAGCAAAC
rnacentral:rRNA from 1 species